rnacentral:tRNA from 1 species
UGAUAAUUAGUUUAAAUCAAAACAAGUGAUUUCGACUCACUAAAUUAUGUGUCAACAUAAUUAUCAA